rnacentral:lncRNA from 1 species
UUCUUUUUUUGGGGGGGAAUUCACCCCUUCGUUUCGCCCGUUCGCACCGUCCUCGAGCCGUCGUCGCCGAGUCGCGCUCGCCGCGCGGGAGGAAUCGGCGCUUUUUGCAGAAAAGCGGGCCGCAGCGUUCCCCGCACCGAUGUUAAUAUCGAUCCGCGCCUUAUGCUCCGCACGAGCAACACGUGCACCAACCAGCCGACCGACCAACGGCCGACCAGCCAACCAACCAGGUCAACGUCGAGCGCGGAGUGUCGCUUUGGUGGCCGCGCAUACACGCGCCUGUUCCAGAUAAAUAAUACAUGCGUCUCCUCCACCGGAAGCGCGCCACAUCACGCGCCACGACUCGGAUUCCGAUGACUUCGCGGCCACGCGGCCGGCACCCCCUCGGACUCGGCUCGGGCCGCCACCCCCUCGGAGAAAAUAAUGGGCUGCAGGGAAGUGCGCGCGACGCGUCGGAGAUUAGCUCGUUAGGCAUGUAACAUGUAUUACAGAAUUAUAAUUAUAAUCCUACAUAGUCCGACGGGGUUCGCGAUUGCCAGCUGGCGUCCGCGGGAUCUUAAUGAAGUGUCAGCUUCAGGAAUUCAGAGUAUCCAGUAAGAAUCACGAGUAAUUAGCCAAGUAAUGAGAGACGGGGGGAAUUAUUGAAUUUUAGACAGAAAGAGAGAGAGAGAAAUUCUGCACUCAUAUUAGUGAAUAAAUUCGAUUUACAAGUCGAUAUGAAUAUCUCUCUGUUAAACGUUAAACAUUAGUAAAAAGCAUCAGCAGAAUUUCGUUGAGGGCCGAUGAACUGCAAUUGGGCACUGCAUGAGAUUCCGCAUGCGGCUGGCGGGGAUGCAGCUUCGAGCGCAGUGGCUGAUUUUGGUCUCCGAUAUAAACCUCGAGGGAUUUUAGCGCGUCGCGGUAAGUGCUGAAAUUUCAACGCUCACGUGACAGUAGCAUUCAUUUUGUAAUAUUUAUAAUUGCAAAUCGAGCGUCAGUUUCCAAUAAAAAGGAUGAUUAAAUAAUAAUACUCAUAUAACCAUUUAUCGAGAUUCUGUCUAUGCGCGUAUUAUUAAUUAAAGUGUUCAUAUUUAUAUUACGAUGUGUGAUAUGGGUCUCGUUCUCUUUAAGCGAGAUAUUCCCUCAGCGUAUUACCACUUUAUGCUAAUAAAGGAUGUAAAGCAAACCUUUAUGUGCGAAAUCGCUGAAAUUGCUCUCGCUUGCAAACGCUCUUUCAAAUGCGAAACGUGAAAGGGACGGGGGGUGCCCUUAUUCCUCUCGAUGUAGACGAGGUUCACAUUCGGAACGAACCGCCCCUCAUAAAAAUAUCGCCGCGGCCCGUUCGCAGGUCCGGCUGGAAAAAUUGCCGUUAUCAGAGCAGUCCAGUCCGGACUUUUUGCUGCGGUAUCCUGGUGAGAUUAAAAAUCCUCCGGGGGAGAAAAAGGGUACGCGAUGACGAGAUGGAAAUCGCGAAACGAGCCCACGUCAUCGCUGUGAAAGGGAGGAACCGUGCCUAUCGCGUCGUCAAAACGAUCACAUCCUGCUACCUCCUGCGGAUCUGAAAGCGAGUUCACCCCAAACUCAACAUUUCGUGCAAAGGUGUCUUAAAGCGAGAGAGGCUCAUCGGAGCUAUGUCUUCUUGAAGAUAACGGAGCUAAUGUAUCAUGAAAAAGGGAUUAGUCUGACAGACUUAAACUGAUCUAAAAGAUUCACAUUGAAAAGGUGCAAAGAAACUUAAACAGUCAGUCUAUUCUUCAUGUACUGCUUAAUUUACGACAAGUAUAACAAGUUUUAGCCUUAAUCCGCUUGGAAACAUCAAGGACUUAGCUGCAAACAGUUAUAUACCGGAUUCAGUUUCUUGCUUCACAUUUAACGUUCGUUUCAAAAGAAACGCUGUUCAUUCGGAUACGGUUCGAAUGAUUCAUUCGGGGCAAUCGUGCAAAACCAGCUUAAACGGGACGCGAUCAACCGACGAUCGAUCCAGUCGCGGAACCGCACGGCUGAAAACCCCGCGAUAAAGUACAUGAUUUCUCGGUUCGACUGCCACGAACGGCUGAUCGCUUACACCUGCGAUAAGCCCGAUGUUCGGCUUGUACGUGUAACACAUUCUACGGUCAAUUUCUGUGAAGCCCCGAAGAAGCAGGAGGAUAUAAAUCCAGAAAUUCUUUUUAGACGUAGCAUCGUAGCUUAGAGCGAAACGACAGAAAUUUAUCUUCGUGAAAAGAAUUUUUUGUCAGAACCAUUACAUCACAUUUGUCGAAAAGGUUUCGGCCGAAAGAAGAAACUGUUGAAGCUGCUGCAAUAGCUUUGACAAAAUGCAGCCGAAUUAUGUCUUUUAUCAAUUCUUUUUUAUCUAAGAAUACGCGUUUUCACCAGACAUACGAUUAAUCGAACUUUCAUGCUUUUAACAUUUUUCGAAACAUUCGAUGCGUCGACAUCUACCUUUAAGUAACGUACGAAGCAACAGGAUGAUAGAAUGACUUGAAAGAAGUUCGGAAUAAUGCUUCAUUCCACACUAUCUCACCUGCCUUAGUUCUACACUAGAACAGAGAGUCAAGCUUCACGGCAAUUAAGUUUCCUCCGCUAAUUGCGAGUUCGUCUAUAGCGACGAGCCAAUCGAUCGAAGGCACGAAGGUGCGAAGACGAAUUUGAGCGCCGUUUCCGCCAGCACGAAAGGAUGCGGGUUCAACAGAGGGUUGAACCGCAACCUACCGACCACCCCCCGUUCCUCAAGAAGCCGCUGCAUUCCCUCGGGCACAUUCGCGAUAAGUGCGAGGUCAUCCGUGUGUAGCCCAGGAUCGAGCAUUCCGCCUGGAGCAACGUCUAUCCUGGUUUCGACAUUCAGCUGCCAUCCAGUUAAGAGUGACAGGGUCACACGCGAGGGGAGACUGACGAACAAUCUUGGCGCACGCAGGGCGGAAAUGGAUGCAGCGUAAUCGUCUGACGGCGAUACGGUCGAUGAUACGAGCACUGUACAUCCAGCUGGACAUUUCCAUGAGCCCCAUGGGCAGCUUCCGGCUCAGAGGAGCGUGCAGGAUCGAUCCGGAUACACAGGACAUCACAAUCGCCGCGCUCGACCUCGACUUGUCUACGCGUCAGUCAGGAUCUUCCGCGGGAAAUUGUGAUCUUGUAACACCUGUUGUUUCUUGAGAAACUUUUGAAGCUUGACUUUGAUCAAGUACCACGUGAGCUGUUGAAUUUGGUCAAUUGAUUGAGGGAGCAAACAAUGGACAAUUAUUGGUCUGUGUGCACUUUUGGAUCUGCCAGCUUCAAGCUUCGAAAGUCGAAAGCUUGUGCAGACGGCGUGUUUCCUGUCGAUCUCGCUUGAUUUAUGUAUGUGAUGCCCGUAAUUUUUUUACGUGGUACUCGCGAUUACUUAGAGAUGAGAAUCGAUUAAAGUGGGUCAUCCUGCAUCCGAUCGCUGCAUACAUUCUUUAGCGUCGGAAGAACGGAUGUUCAGAACGACGUUUUAAAAGUUAAAUUAAUUGAGUAUUUUCGAGGGAAGAUUUUUUCAGGAAGGGGGGACUCGCGUUGUAAUUUUUUUCAGGAAAUUAGGGCGGACACUCAUGAUGGAUAACUAUUUCAUGGGUCUAUAACUCGACAGUGAGGAAAGUGCAUAAUGUAGCACCCCAGCUGGGAUAAACUACGCGCGCAGGUAUAAGGGCGGUUUAAUGCGUUUAAUAAUAACCACGGCGGGGACUAAAAGUAAACCAGACGCCGUCUAACAUCGCCGUAGCGUAAAGACAAGCGACGGUACUUAAGGGCAACGCCGGUCUGAUGAAGGUAGGGUAGUAUCGAUCGAUCGACUGGCCAUUCAAUAACACGAUCGUCACCGUUUAUGGGCGCAAAAAGCUGCGGCUACGCUUCCAAUCGCCGAAGUUUAAUCGAGCGCGAUGCGAGUUGCCGUACAAAAAGUCUUACCGUCAUUACCAGACAAUGUCGCCUCGGGGAUGGAUUUGUCGAGAAGCAAGCACCGUCAACUGUCUACGGGACAUUUUCGCGUGUAGGUAUCAUCCCAUUCAAAGGAUCUAUCGCAUCGCGCUGUUCAUUCUAUGCCUCGUGCUUCGCUUGCUGCAAACAAGUUUUUGUGCGGCGAUGCUGAAGAGAACGGAGCACCCCUUCGUGACUUCGGAAUGAACAAAUACGUGGGGAAAGUCGAUUCUGACCGAGCACGGGCAUCGAGAUAUCGAAACACCCUCGUGUUUUUCUCGCCAACUUUGUUUGCGACUCAUCCCUCGGUUCACGUGUGUUUUAUGGAAGUUUGCGACUCGGGAGCACGUCGCCGCUAUAAAGUUGGCGUCUACGGUGGCAUUGGCACUGAUGCGACGAUCCUGAUCCUUGCUCGAGCCGGGAAGGACACGCAAGCUUCCGCAAGCGAACGCAUUUCAGUCGGAAAAGUGGAACGGUGUCCCGAAAAAUGGCAAUCUCGAAAUUUUCGAAACGGUGUCCCGAGAUGUCAUAAUCUCAGAAAAGAUUCGAAAAGUGGGACAACUUCGCGAGAGGUCGUAAUUCCGAAAUUAGCGUUCCCAAAUAACCGACAUCGCCUACUUUCGGAUAUUUCGGUGAACUCUGAUUUCGUUCUCGAAUCUCGAAAUUAUACACGCCCACCAAACAAAUUUCCAAACGGAUUUUCUGCUGCAUUAUUAAAAGUUGAGUUAUUUUUUAACCGAAAGUUAGGCUAUUACGCUUCGAUUGCAAACUCAUAUAAAUAAAAUCGUACUUGACAUUUUCAUGAGUGACCUUUAUCGCUCUCCACUGUAAAGACUACACUUUUAAUUAACUGUUUGAAUAUUCUUGUUUCAUAAUUAUUUCAAUUUUCGUUUCCAUCGAAUUACAGUCAAUGAAGUUUAUUUAGUAAUUUUGAUAAACUUAUUUAUGGAGGAAGUAAAAUUAAUUGUUCCGAAACCAAGAUUACACUUUCUUACCAAGAUCGUUUCGCAAAAUCGAUUUUUACGCGAAAGAAAUAAUGAAAAAUAGCGAAAAAAAUUUGCAGUCUCGUUAAGGUUUAAUGCGCUCGUUCGCAGAAGAGUUAGGAAAUUACUUUUUCCAGGGAAUCUGAAAAAUCGUUCAGGUGUUUUACGCUUGGGUGAAAGUUUUUGGCGCAACGCUGAAAUCCGGAGUGUCUCCCGGACGGCGACGACCGAUUGCGGAUUUUUAGCACUGCACCAAAUCGUGCAGUCGUAGAAUUCCCUUUGGUAGAAUUUCUCCGAGCAGUUAUACAUCGAGGGGUCGCGUCGUGACGUAGGGGAAAAUAAUAAGCCCAGUGCACGCAGGUAUGUGAGACUGAAUGGCGGCUUGCGCAUCGACCGUGUUCCAUAUACUUGGCGGCUUUUACUCGCAAGACUGCUUCUUGCAAGUGCUAGGCCGAACUACCCCGAAUCGGCAGUCUGGCGACACGUAAUCGUCCAGAGUGGCAUUUGCAAGCGCAUUUCUUAUGCAUUAGAAUCUUGCGUUACUCGACUCCGUCUCUACUCACCCCCAACUGUUUGGCACUCGCAAUUUAAUUCCACAGCAAGAUUGUGCGUAGAUUUUAAUGGUCGCGUAAAUCAUCAUUGGCGAAAUGAAAGGACCUCUUUAUGCUGAGAAUGGGAUGCAGAGUAGAUUACGUGGUUUAGAGAAAGAGAGAGGGAGAGGGAGGAUAUUUCAGCUUGCAAGUUCUAAAGUUUUGUACUUCGUACAUGUCGCGCCGUAUCGUCGCGUCGUGUCGCCGCGUCGCAAUGCAAUUUCGCAUUACGCAAGCCUAAGUGCGAUCUCCUUUUACAUCGCCGUUUCGUAUUCCAAGUUCUCAGGCUUUGUCGCGUCACUUAUUCUUAUGAAACGGGAAGUGGAGCGCGUCCUGAUAAUGUAACGAUCGUAACGAAUUCGAAAUUCAGUGUUGACAAAUGUUUGUGAGAAAUUAAAAUUUUCUCAAUUUAACAUUUUCAAUAGACAUUCGAGAGAAAAUUUUUAAAUUCGCGGGAUAAAACAAUCCUCAUCGAAACACGCACUUAAAUUAGGAUUAUUUGACAACCAGUAGCAAAACGCGAGAAAGCAAAUUUAACUAU